GACGAACGCUGGCGGCGUGCUUAACACAUGCAAGUCGAACGGAAAGGCCCUGCUUGCAGGGUCCUCGAGUGGCGAACGGGUGAGUAACACGUGGGUGAUCUGCCCUGCACUUCGGGAUAAGCCUGGGAAACUGGGUCUAAUACCGGAUAGGAGCCAUUUUUAGUGUGAUGGUUGGAAAGUUUUUUCGGUGUAGGAUGAGCUCGCGGCCUAUCAGCUUGUUGGUGGGGUAAUGGCCUACCAAGGCGGCGACGGGUAGCCGGCCUGAGAGGGUGGACGGCCACAUUGGGACUGAGAUACGGCCCAGACUCCUACGGGAGGCAGCAGUGGGGAAUAUUGCACAAUGGGCGCAAGCCUGAUGCAGCGACGCCGCGUGGGGGAUGACGGCCUUCGGGUUGUAAACUCCGUUCGUUAGGGACGAAGCUUUUUGUGACGGUACCUAGAUAAGAAGCACCGGCUAACUACGUG
rnacentral:rRNA from 1 species